rnacentral:lncRNA from 1 species
CAGUCUCGUUUCCCGAGCCUGCGAUCCUCGGGAAGGAACGCGAGGCUCUGGGAUAAUCCGUUUCAGGGAGGAAUCUGAUUGGCCGUUGAAAUGGAAUGCGUAGUUCAAUCUUAGCCAGAGCUCUGGGAUAAUCCGUUUCAGGGAGGAAUCUGAUUGGCCGUUGAAAUGGAAUGCGUAGUUCAAUCUUAGCCAGAAUUCCUGGCUUCCGGCAACG